UGUGUGUGUGUGUGUGUCAGGAGUCCUUCCAGGUGUCUCUGUCCGCGGUGGGUUCUGUCCUCCAGCUCGUUGACCAGGUGAUGACCUCCGAGCUCAGGAACGGAUUCGCUGUCAUCAGACCUCCAGGUCAUCAUGCUCAGUCCAACAUGGCGAACGGUUUCUCUAUUUUCAACAACGUGGCGAUUGCAGCCCGAUACGCUCA